rnacentral:rRNA from 1 species
CACUAUGCCUAGCCCUAAACAUUGACAGUUAAUUACACCCACUGUCCGCCUGGGGACUACGAGCACCAGCUUAAAACCCAAAGGACUUGGCGGUGCUUUAGACCCACCUAGAGGAGCCUGUUCUAGAACCGAUAAUCCCCGUUAAACCUCACCCUUCCUUGUCAUUUCCGCCUAUAUACCACCGUCGUCAGCUUACCCUGUGAAGGCCCUAUAGUAAGCGCAAUCGGCAAUGCCCAAAACGUCAGGUCGAGGUGUAGCGAAUGGAAGGGGAAGAAAUGGGCUACAUUUACUGGCACAGUAAAUACGGAUGAUUACCCUGCAACGAGUAUCUGAAGGAGGAUUUAGCAGUAAGCAAAAAGCAGAGUGUUUUGCUGAAACUGGCCCUGAAGCGUGCACACACCGCCCGUCACUCUCUCCGAACUAAGAUUUUAAACAUAACUAAUAUGCUACAACUGUAAAGGGGAGGCAAGUCGUAA